rnacentral:rRNA from 1 species
UCGGGAAUUUUGGGCAAUGGGCGAAAGCCUGACCCAGCAACGCCGCGUGAAGGAUGAAGUAUUUCGGUAUGUAAACUUCGAAAGAAUAGGAAGAAUAAAUGACGGUACUAUUUAUAAGGUCCGGCUAACUACGUGCCAGCAGCCGCGGUAAUACGUAGGGACCAAGCGUUGUUCGGAUUUACUGGGCGUAAAGGGCGCGUAGGCGGCAUGACAAGUCACUUGUGAAAUCUCUGGGCUUAACCCAGAACGGCCAAGUGAUACUGUCGCGCUAGAGUGCAGAAGGGGCAAUCGGAAUUCUUGGUGUAGCGGUGAAAUGCGUAGAUAUCAAGGGGAACACCUGAGGUGAAGACGGGUUGCUGGGCUGACACUGACGCUGAGGCGCGAAAGCCAGGGGAGCAAACGGGAUUAGAUACCCUCGUAGUCCCUGAGCGGGCUGGCAAGGCGCAU